CUACUAAUACAGGAGUACAGCUUUGCUAUCUAGAAAAAUCAUACAAGAGCCAAUAGAUGCAUUAUGAUGAUGAUUCUGGCCGGCCAAUGCCUUUGCUAAUGUACGCUCUGCCUGCCGCAGGACCUCACGCCCAAUCAGAGGAAAGAUGCCAUCUUCCGCUUGGCUCAAAUCCAUGCCCAGAAAGAGGACCUCUACAACACAAUCGCUGCCUGGCAAGCUGACUACACUGCUAAGGGCAAUGUAGUGACCCGGAAAAACAACCUUUUGCUCAAACAACUCUCUCAGCAUGUCAAACCUAGACCCGAUGACCCCCGCUGGCACUCAAGUCAGCGGGCAGUAUACUUUAAUGAUUUCCUCAAAUUCACGGGGGCAGUUUUGAUCGGCAAAAUGGCAGGAGAUGCCUUUAGUCAUUACAAGGCAAAACAAGAUCAUGAUGGCCACAAGGGAUCAAGCUAGCUUGCUGCAUACAAGUCAACUAGUUAGUACCUGGUCUUGCAGAGAACCAAAUCAUAAGUCAUGUCUGCUAGCUAGCUUCUUAUCACAAUUGUUAGAAUGUUGUGAAUGUGCCUACGCUGUUGUCGUCUCUGUUUAAUUAUGUUGCCUCCCUCUAUCAGUGUGUGUUAUAUCUGUUUUGCUGAUGAGUCAGUCUCGUCGAAUUAAGCUAUUGGUCGCUGUAUAUAUAUGUGUUUCCUCUUUCUUGGAACUCAGUGAGCCUUCAUGUCUGUUUGCUGUAUGUAUGUGUUUCUGGUGUCACCUCUGUUUUAA